ACAGAACCUCACCCCUCAGCGGGCAGUCAACUUUGCCCACACUCAGCUCUGCUCAGCUCAUAUUCCUCGAGUGGAGGGAAGAGGUGGAGGGUGGAGAUCUGGCAGAGUGAAAAAGUCCAGGGGCCUGCCCAAUGCCCACCUGAGGCUCAUACUCCUUCCUAAACCUGGGUUUCAAGGAACCACAAGAUAACAAGACACACAAGAAACCUCCAAUCUACUUUAGAUAGAAGAAAAUGGUCCCAGGCUGGACCUCAUCAAACCUUCACCCUACACAGCCUUCGACUGUAAAGGAAACCAAAAAGAUGUGCCGCCGAGAGCAUCACUGCCCUAAGGGCAGGUCCAAAAGGAUUCAAGCUAGUCCUAAUAAGCAGAAGAGCUCUCGGAAGGCCUCUUCUAGAAGCCGGUUGUCAUCUUCACUGAGAUUUGGGCAAACUUCUCAUAGACCUAGCAGGGUUCUUCGAGCCAGGAGGAGAGAGGCUCUUCCACCACCUUUCCAGAUCAACCUUAAGGGACUCACCAAGAUCAUCUCCCUGCUGCAGAUUGCCUAAAGAAGGAGGGGAUGAGGCCAAGAACCAAAUGAAGUUGUCAUUAAAAUGCCUCCACUAUCCAAUAACAGUGUCAGCAGUAACUGUGCAGCAAUUCCAGCCACUGACUGAUGAAAGCAAAACCAGAAAAGAUGUGACCUAUAAUAAAAGCUGCUUCAACCUCC